rnacentral:sRNA from 1 species
AAAAAAUAACAAAAUAAUGUUUAAUUUCACUUAACGGAGUUAGAUGGUAAGACGAGUUUGGAUCGACAGUAAUAUGAGACGGUAUACCACGGGUGAAAUCCAAUAGAUAUGUUUAAUUUCACUGAACGAGGUUAGAUGGUAGAACGGUUUGGAUUAAUAGUAAUACGAGACGGUAUACCACGAGUGAAAUCUAUUAGAUAUUUUUAAUUUUAUUGAACAGAAUUAGAUGGUAGGACGGAUUUGGGUCAAUAGUAAUACGAGACGGUAUAUCACACGUGAAAUCCUAGAUAUAAUAAU